rnacentral:rRNA from 1 species
UACAGAGGUCCCAAGCGUUGUUCGGAUUCACUGGGCGUAAAGGGUGCGUAGGUGGUGAGGUAAGUCGGAUGUGAAAAGCUCGGAGCUCAACUCCGAAAUGGCAUUGGAAACUACCUUGCUCGAGGGUUGGAGGGGGGACUGGAAUACUUGGUGUAGCAGUGAAAUGCGUAGAUAUCAAGUGGAACACCAGUGGCGAAGGCGAGUCCCUGGACAACUCCUGACACUGAGGCACGAAAGCUAGGGGAGCAAACAGG